GCGUUGGUGGUUCAGUGGUAGAAUACUCACCUUCUGCGCGGGUGACCCGGGUUCGAGUCUCGGCCGACGCA
rnacentral:tRNA from 1 species